rnacentral:rRNA from 1 species
AUUGAACGCUGGCGGCAUGCUUUACACAUGCAAGUCGAACGGUAACAGGCCUUCGGGUGCUGACGAGUGGCGAACGGGUGAGUAAUGCAUCGGAACGUACCCAGUCGUGGGGGACAACGUAGCGAAAGUUACGCUAAUACCGCAUACGACCUGAGGGUGAAAGCAGGGGAUCGCAAGACCUUGCGCGAUUGGAGCGGCCGAUGUCAGAUUAGCUAGUUGGUGGGGUAAAGGCUAACCAAGGCGACGAUCUGUAGCGGGUCUGAGAGGAUGAUCCGCCACACUGGGACUGAGAAACGGCCCAGACUCCUACGGGAGGCAGCAGUGGGGAAUUUUGGACAAUGGGGGCAACCCUGAUCCAGCCAUGCCGCGUGCGGGAAGAAGGCCUUCGGGUUGUAAACCGCUUUCGGACAGAAAGAAAUCGCAUGGGCUAAUACCCUGUGUGGAUGACGGUACUGUAAGAAGAAGCACCGGCUAACUACGUGCCAGCAGCCGCCGUAAUAC